rnacentral:rRNA from 1 species
UACGAAGGGGGCUAGCGUUGCUCGGAAUCACUGGGCGUAAAGCGCACGUAGGCGGGUUCUUAAGUCAGGGGUGAAAUCCUGGAGCUCAACUCCAGAACUGCCUUUGAUACUGGGAAUCUCGAGUCCGGGAGAGGUGAGUGGAACUGCGAGUGUAGAGGUGAAAUUCGUAGAUAUUCGCAAGAACACCAGUGGCGAAGGCGGCUCACUGGCCCGGUACUGACGCUGAGGUGCGAAAGCGUGGG